GUGCUUAACACAUGCAAGUCGAGUGCGCGGUAGCAAUACUGGCGCACGGCGCACGGGUGCGUAACACGUGGGCAAUCUGCCCUUGAGUGGGGAAUAACCCGCCGAAAGGCGGGCUAAUACCGCAUGACAUUCCAUGGUCUUCGGACUGUGGACUCAAAGUCCGCAAGGACGCUUAAGGAGGAGCCCGCGGCCGAUUAGCUAGUUGGCGGGGUAACGGCCCACCAAGGCGAUGAUCGGUAGCUGGUCUGAGAGGACGGCCGGCCACACUGGAACUGAGACACGGUCCAG
rnacentral:rRNA from 1 species